GUAUUUAAUACUGUAUCCACUCGUAUAAUAUUGGAGAUAAGGUCCAAAAGUUUCUACCAAACUGCCGUAAAUAGUUUGACUACGAGAGGAAUAGGGUUUUUA
rnacentral:ncRNA from 2 species